AGUGAACGCUGGCGGCGUGCUUAACACAUGCAAGUCGAACGAGAACGGAUUAUAGCUUGCUAUAAUUGUCAGCUAAGUGGCGCACGGGUGAGUAAUGUAUAGGUAAUAUGCCUCUUACUAAGGGAUAACAAUUGGAAACGAUUGCUAAUACCUUAUAUUCCUUUUUAUCAAAAGAUAAAAAGGGAAAGAUUUAUUGGUAAGAGAUUAGCCUGUAUUGUAUCAGUUAGUUGGUGGGGUAAUGGCCUACUAAGACGAUGACGCAUAACUGGUUUGUGAGGAUGAUCAGUCACACUGGAACUGAGACACGGUCCAGACGCCUACGGGAGGCAGCAGUGGGGAAUAUUGCACAAUGGACGAAAGUCUGAUGCAGCAACGCCGCGUGGAGGAUGACACAUUUCGGUGCGUAAACUCCUUUUAUAUAAGAAGAUAAUGACGGUAUUAUAUGAAUAAGCACCGGCUAACUCCGUGCCAGCCGCCGCCGUAA
rnacentral:rRNA from 1 species